rnacentral:piRNA from 1 species
GCUCGACUCAUGGUUUGAACCA